CCUACGGGGGGCAGCAGUGAGGAAUAUUGGUCAAUGGACGAGAGUCUGAACCAGCCAAGUAGCGUGAAGGAUGACUGCCCUCUGAGUUGUAAACUUCUUUUAUAUGGGAAUAAAAUGUUCCACGUGUGGGAUUUUGUAUGUACCAUAUGAAUAAGGAUCGGCUAACUCCGUGCCAGCAGCCGCGGUAAUACGGAGGAUCCGAGCGUUAUCCGGAUUUAUUGGGUUGAACGGGAGCGUAGGUGGAUUGUUAAGUCAGUUGUGAAAGUUUGCGGCUCAACCGUAAAAUUGCAGUUGAAACUGGCAGUCUUGAGUACAGUAGAGGUGAGCGGAAUUCGUGGUGUAGCGGUGAAAUGCUUAGAUAUCACGAAGAACUCCGAUUGCGAAGGCAGCUCACUGGACUGCAACUGACACUGAGGCUCGAAAGUGUGGGUAGCAAACAGGAUUAGAUACCCUGGUAGUC
rnacentral:rRNA from 1 species